rnacentral:tRNA from 1 species
AGCUCGGUAGCUUGUCUAGCGUACAAGAGUCCUGGGUUCAAAUCCCAGCCGAGCAC